UUGAAUUAUCCAACAACCACGCUAGAAUAUUGGUAAAUUCGCGCUAAAUUCUGUCAAAAUAUUUCCACCUACACAAAGGGAAGACUGGAGGAAACAGUUGUAGUAGUUGAUGCCGUGUUACUAUAAAGACGUGGGUUUGACGUUAAACCAGUCUAUCACAAAUUCAAGGUAAGACUGCCUACAAUAGAUGUAGUGUUGUCAAUCGUGCUUACGGUGCUAUGCUGUUAUUUGACAACAUUUUGUAGUAAAUCGCGUAUCAAAGAAUAAAAGUGAUUUGUUAAAAUUCCACAAGAUUGUAGAGCUAUAUCCACUAUUUGACAAACUGAAUAAAUGCACAAGAUAAACCCUUUUGGUUCUGCAAAAAUAAAAUCUAAACGCAAGAACAAUUGAAGUAGGAACUACCAGACCAUUUUUUGUUUUGCGAAUACGAGUCAAAUUGAGUGAAAUACUCCUAAGUGUAAUCACAUUGCUUAUUAUCAAAAUGUCAAAUCAGUCAGUCUCAGUCAGUCAUACCUUGGUGGCCUUUG
rnacentral:lncRNA from 1 species